CCUAUGGACUGUUAAACAAACUGUAGUAGCUUUUAUAGCGAGGCGGAACAGGAUGAAAUAGGAA
rnacentral:ncRNA from 1 species